AUACGGAGGAUGCGAGCGUUAUCCGGAUUUAUUGGGUUUAAAGGGAGCGUAGGUGGAUUGUUAAGUCAGUUGUGAAAGUUUGCGGCUCAACCGUAAAAUUGCAGUUGAAACUGGGAGUCUUGAGUACAGUAGAGGUGGGCGGAAUUCGUGGUGUAGCGGUGAAAUGCUUAGAUAUCACGAAGAACUCCGAUUGCGAAGGCAGCUCACUAGACUGUUACUGACACUGAGGCUCGAAAGUGUGGGUAUCAAACAGGAUUAGAUACCCUGGUAGUCCACACAGUAAACGAUGAAUACUCGCUGUUUGCGAUAUACAGUAAGCGGCCAAGCGAAAGCAUUAAGUAUUCCACCUGGGGAGUACGCCGGCAACGGUGAAACUCAAAUGAAUUGACGGGG
rnacentral:rRNA from 1 species